rnacentral:rRNA from 1 species
AGCGAACGCUGGCGGUAGGCCUAACACAUGCAAGUCGAACGGCAGCACAGUAAGUUCUUGCUCUUACGGGUGGCGAGUGGCGGACGGGUGAGGAAUACAUCGGAAUCUACUUUUUCGUGGGGGAUAACGUAGGGAAACUUACGCUAAUACCGCAUACGACCUACGGUUGAAAGCAUGGGAUCUUCGGACCUUGCGCGAUUGAAUGAGCCGAUGUCGGAUUAGCUAGUUGGCGGGGUAAAGACCCACCAAGGCGACGAUCCGUAGCUGGUCUGAGAGGAUGAUCGGCCACACUGGAACUGAGACACGGUCCAGGCGCCUACGAGAGGCAGCAGUGGGGAAUGUUAGACAAUGGGCGCAAGCCUGAUCCAGCCAUACCGCGUGGGUGAAGAAGGCGUUCGGGUUGUAAAGCCCUUUUGUUGGGAAAGAAACGCAGCAGGUUAAUACCCCGCUGUUCUGACGGUACCCAAAGAAUAAGCACCGGCUAACUUCGUG